GGGGCCUGAGCCUGGAGACAGAGCCCAGGGUGCCCCAGCUCAGCCCUGCUUUGGGCUGCCGACCCUGGAACAGGGCGCACCGACGGGCCAGCAGCGGGAAUCCUCGGCUGGGGUGAGGCGGCCUCUGGCAGGGCGGGCUGGUCCCUGGACCCAUCUCAUGGCUCGUUAGCCGGGUGGCCGGGCGCCCAGAGGUGGGUAGAGAGCACCAGGUGGCUUCUCUCUGGAACGUCAUGAAACCCCUGCAAACCCUGGGCUUCCCUUUCAGGGAUCAUGGCCAAAUUCUUGCCCUCGAAAUGAUUUUCCAGGCCUUUCCACCAGGAAAGAUGUUUUUCUGAGGGGGGAGGGGGGCCAUGGGAGGGUCUGGAGGAAGAGCCAGGGAGCGUAAGCUCGGAGGUCGGAGAAGAGGGAUUAGUACUGCCAGGCUAGGUCCAAGCACAGAGGCCCUCCCUCACUCAUGCCCAGCGGGAAAUCACAACCGCGGUCAGACAUUUCCCCAUGUUGGCCCAACACCACCUUCUUUUCCUCCCUGACACAUCCCUGGGCAGGACCUGGGGACAGCUAGAAACCUGCAAGCACCAGUGGACCCAGGGCCCUCUCCAGCCAGGAGAUACCCCUGAGCUGACCUGGUUCAGCCACAGCAGCCCGGGUGGGGGCACCGUCCGGGCACCUCGUGUUCCCGUCCUCCUCAGCACCGCCCAGGCCCAGCGGUUGGGCUGUGGAAAGUCAGGGACUCUGAGUCACCCUCCUCCUUUCAGCGUAUUUCUGGGAAUGUGAAGCACACUGGAGCGACGUGACAUUCCUUAGCUCCCAGCAGCAAGUCAACCACCCACUUCCUUUCCAGUCAUGCUGCAUGACAGCGGAACAGGACCAAACAAAUUGACAUGAAAGCCACAUGCCUUUAGGACAGGACGGGAGCGCAGGGCCAGGGCCUCCCUUCCCUCCAGAGCAGAGCGCAUACCAGCAGGCAAGCACCGCAGCUGUCCCUACCCCUCCAGGGCCAGGAAACCCUCUCCUCGGGCAUGUGACGCCCGUCCUGCUGUUCCAGAACACACUCGCACAUCUACAGACACACCCAUUCUGGGUGACAGGCAUUGCCAUGUGUGAAAUUCUUUGUCCUUAUCAUCUCUGGAGUAAGUCACAGGAAGGGUAACGCCCAUGUCUCUCAAGCAUUUGGUCUGGGGGUAAAGUUCUGCACAUCUGAAUCCUAGAAAAAUGUCAUCUAUGGACAGGACCCUGAGCACACGUCAAGAGCUUGGGAAGAGAGCUGGGGCAGGGGGACGAUGAGAGGGUGAACGUGGGGACAUCUGCCCUCAAGG
rnacentral:lncRNA from 1 species